AUUGAACGCUGGCGGAAUGCUUUACACAUGCAAGUCGAACGGCAGCACGGACUUCGGUCUGGUGGCGAGUGGCGAACGGGUGAGUAAUGUAUCGGAACGUGCCCAGUCGUGGGGGAUAACGUAGUGAAAAUUACGCUAAUACCGCAUACGAUCUAUGGAUGAAAGCGGGGGAUCGCAAGACCUCGCGCGAUUGGAGCGGCCGAUAUCAGAUUAGGUAGUUUGUGGGGUAAAGGCCCACCAAGCCAACGAUCUGUAGCUGGUCUGAGAGGACGACCAGCCGCACUGGAACUGAGACACGGUUCAGACUCCUACGGGAGGCAGCAGUGGGGAAUUUUGGACAAUGGGCGGAAGCCUGAUCCAGCCAUUCCGCGUGCAGGAUGAAGGCCCUCGGGUUGUAAACUGCUUUUGUACAGAACGAAAAGGUUUCUACUAAUACUAGGAGCUCAUGACGGUACUGUAAGAAUAAGCACCGGCUAACUACGUGCCAGCCGCCGCCGUAA
rnacentral:rRNA from 1 species